AUUCUUUCUCUGCCCAAAGUUUUUAUUCUCCAAUGGCUUGCUCCCAACAGAGCAAUUUCAAGAAUAAAGAGAUGUGGAAAAAAGAAUUGAUUGAAGAGACAAAACAAGCAAAAUUAACGUUACAAGGCUAAAGAGAAAAUAUAGAAAGGACUUUGGAUCUGGAAACAAAAAAAGAAAUUUUAUCAUUGAUGAGUGAAGAAUUUGAUGAACGACAAAUCAACAAGAAAAAACAGACAUGGGAAAAAGAAUUACGUGAAGAGAUUGAAAAAGCCAAGUUGAAGAAACGUUUAGCUAUUGUGAAGUGCUAGUAAUUUGCUGAAGAUUAUGGCCAAUUGGCUCAAAUGCUUAUUCUUAUCUUACGGACGCUAACUUUGUAUAGUUUAGGAGUUGUUUAAUUUUCUUAUCUACCAAUUUUAAGUGAAGAAUCCAUAUUUUGAUUAAUACUUGUUAGGUUUGAUGGUUUUUGUAUUCUUUGUUUGAUGUGUAUUCAAGUUUACUACUGUUCCAUAUUCUUA
rnacentral:lncRNA from 1 species